UUGUUCUCCAUAUUUUUAGGGGCCUAGCUUAUAUUCACAGUGUACCCGGGGUUUGUCAUAGGGAUGUGAAGCCUCAAAAUCUUCUGGUGGAUCCUCUCACCCACCAGGUCAAGCUUUGUGAUUUUGGAAGUGCAAAAAUUCUGGUCAAGGGAGAAGCAAACAUAAUAUACAAUUGCUUUCGCUACUACCGGGCUCCAGAGCUUAUAUUUGGAGCAACCGAAUAUACUAC